rnacentral:lncRNA from 1 species
UGAAGCUGUGCCCAGCAAACCAGCCGCUCGCGCCCAAUCCGUUCAGACCCACAAGCCCGCGUGCAAGCUCACAUUUGAAUCCCCUGUGAGCUGCGUCCAGACCAUCCUUUUUUUCCUUUUUCAUGAAACGUGCUUGGACCUGCCAAGUGCCACAUCCAUUGUUGACAUGAACCAUCAUGGACCGCGCUAAAUAGCUAGGCUGCAUGGCUUCCUGUAGAUCGGCUGCUUUAAAAAGGGUUUUAGGCCAGAUUUGAGUUGGUUUGGGCUAGAAUUUGGCUUGGAUUUGAGGCGCUUUUGAUUCUCCAUUUGGAGCCUGUCUUGAAUCCAAUUUGCUCCCAGUUUUCUUUCCUUUAUCCUGCGAAUCGGGCUCUUUACAUUGAUAAAUAUUUUCUCUACAAAAAGAUGC